GAGCAAGACGUGCAUGGGGAGGUCAACCUUAGUCUGUGGUGCGAUGGGAUACAAAGUGUUCCAGAGAAAUUAUUCUGAAAACAGCCAUGCCAAGAGAUCACAGGACGCGGCCGGGGUGUAUUGAAACGUUAACUGGAUCUUGCCGUGUUAAAGGGGAACAUCAUUCAAAAUACUCAGGAUGUUUGCUCAUACACAGCGGAACACUUGCAUGCACCGAAGAGCGGAAUAUACACCAGAAGAGUUUUCAAGUACAUUCCCGACAUUGAUCGAUCCAAAAAUUACAUAUUCAGGGCUGUUGAGAACAACAGACAAGUUCACCAGUUGACUACUACUCAACCCGGAAGGAUUUCAGGGAAAGUCCAUGCCAAAACAUUAUCAUGACUGGCAGCAUUCGUGACCUUGACAUUUGAGUCCCUGAAGAAGCGGCGGUCGCGACAGAAUUAGCAGACGAUGGAAUGGAUGAGAUGGAAAACACCGCAGACCUCAUAACAGAAGGAGACACUGCGGCCGUCGUUGCGCCGGAUGAAAAUGAUGAUUACUUCUUGUUAAAGGUAACUCGUACUCCAUACACAUUGCGAGCAGAGGGUAGAGAUGUCUGGGGUAAUACUUUCCCGAAAGGAGCACGUGUUGUAGGAGGGUAUAACUACAAAUCGACGGAGUCCGCCUUUAAGAUCGUUAAGAGGAGAAAAGCCCUUGUGUAGUCGGUGGCGGUUUGUUACAUUUUGGACGCGAAAGACAAAAAACGGAAGUAUGAGCGUAGACGAGAACCUCCACCAAAACAUUCUGAACAGUUUGAACAUUUUAGAUGUUUGAUGAUAACAAUAAUUUUAAGACAAAUCAGAACAGAAAUUUGAUUCAUUAAUGAUAAGUAUUUACGAGUUGUUCGUCAACGUUUCCAAAGCACUUUGAAGGUUAUACCAUACUAUUUAACUACACUUAUAACUACUAAGGUUUGUAAUUAAUAAAUAACUUAAUCCGAUACCAACAAUUGUCACCUUCAAUUGACAAUGUAUAUUCUUUUGUUGCGGGAGUUAUUAUUAUACAUGCGUGGUGAGUUGAUAUAUAUCUACUGUUUCUUGUGUUUAUAUUUGCAGAUGUGAAAUUUCAAAUUAUGGAACUGUCUAGAACUUUGUCGGUCCGUGUAAUGUACAUGUAUUAUUAAGUUGUGUGCAUUAUUACUAUUAUGUUAUGUCACGUCUUUCUUAUAAUUAUGUUGAUGUUAAUAAGCAACUAAAUGCUGUAUCAGUAUGUAGCCUCGUGUAGUUCUUCACAGAACAGACAUUCUUUUCAUAACACUUACAUGAUACUUUUAUUUGAAAAUUGUUAUAUUAACUUUGUAAAUUUGUACGUGACUAAAAUACAUGUAAUAAAAAUCA